rnacentral:rRNA from 1 species
CCCUUGACAUGUCUGGAAUCCGAAGAGAUUUGGGAGUGCUCGCAAGAGAACCGGAACACAGGUGCUGCAUGGCUGUCGUCAGCUCGUGUCGUGAGAUGUUGGGUUAAGUCCCGCAACGAGCGCAACCCUUGUCAUUAGUUGCUACGAAAGGGCACUCUAAUGAGACUGCCGGUGACAAACCGGAGGAAGUGGGAUGACGUCAAGUCCUCAUGGCCCUUAUGGGUAGGGCUUCACACGUCAUACAAUGGUCGGGACAGAGGGUCGCCAACCCGCGAGGGGGAGCCAAUCCCAGAAACCCGAUCGUAGUCCGGAUUGUAGUCUGCAACUCGACUACAUGAAGUCGGAAUCGCUAGUAAUCGCGGAUCAGCAUGUCGCGGUGAAUACGUUCCCGGGUCUU